rnacentral:rRNA from 1 species
UACGGGGGGUGCAAGCGUUGUUCGGAAUUACUGGGCGUAAAGGGCUCGUAGGCGGCCAACUAAGUCAGACGUGAAAUCCCUCGGCUUAACCGGGGAACUGCGUCUGAUACUGGAUGGCUUGAAUCCGGGAGAGGGAUGCGGAAUUCCAGGUGUAGCGGUGAAAUGCGUAGAUAUCUGGAGGAACACCGGUGGCGAAGGCGGCAUCCUGGACCGGCAUUGACGCUGAGGAGCGAAAGCCUGGGGAGCAAACGGG